rnacentral:rRNA from 1 species
GUCUCAGCCCGUUACCGCCCCCGGCCCGGCACUGUCUCCACUUGGAGAGGAGGCGAUUUCUUAUGUUCAUGGCGAUUCCGAGCUAUUCCACCGCUCGAUUUCGAUUUCUCCUCCCUUUUCUCUUCGAUCCCCGCUGCCGCGGUCGGUUGUCCUUGUCUCUCGUGUUUCCCUGUGUGCUUUUGUUUGUGUUGUGGCUGUGUAGUUCCAGAUCUAGGUAAGUUUUGGAUCCAUGGAUCCAUGGUUCAUCUGUUCUUGAUGUUGUCCGUGGAUCCGUGGUAGGUGCGUGUUGCUGCCGUGUUUGUUUCUAGUCCGCCAUGCCUAGCGCUCCAUUUCCCAUCCUUCUGCUCGCCUGAGUUAUGUAGGAGCUUGUUGUAUGUGGGGGUUCUAAUCCAUCUGCUUGUUGUGGUCAUAUUCUCCCAUGCUUGUAGAUGUGGAGGUAGGCGUAGGUUGUUUAUUCUGAUGUAGAUAUAGAGGUAGGGGAAGUUAUAGUUGCAGCGGUGGUUAGCCCUAUCAAUUUUAUUUCUGCCGGCCUGGGUGUCUGUUCCUUUGUCAUUAGAUGUAGUUGCAGAUGAUCUAGCCUGAUUUCUGCCUGCUUAUGCAGUUUAGUUGUAUUUGCUGUUAGCUGCUGAUGUUUGAUGUUGUAGUCCCUGGAAUUCAUUAUGAUUUUUUGUGUUAGAUGUAGGUGUUCAUUUCCCCCGGUACCUGAAUCUCUCUGAAUUUGUGUGUACUAGGCUGCAGUGUUGUUGCAGUGUCAGUCCAGGAAUCUCUCUGAAUUGCAUGCUUCUUUACAGUGUAUUUUUACUCCAGACUUGAAGUGUAACUUACCCCUAGAAUUACAGUGUAUCCCCAUCCAGAAUUGCUGUGUAAUUUAACCCAUAAUUACAGUGUAACUUACCCCAUAAUUGUAGUGCAUUUACAGUGUAUCCUGAUGCUUCUUUAUUUGUUGUUACUCUGGAAUUUGUCCUAGUAGUACUGUGUAUUUCCCCCUAAUUACAGUGUAAUCCCGAUGCUUCUUUCUUCAGUGUGAAUUUUGCUAUAAUUACUGUGUAAUAUGUCCGUAGAAUUACACUGUAGGUUACCCUGCAAUUACAGUGCAAUAUACCGUAAUUACCGUGUGUUUUUGUGCUUUUUUAUUUGUAAUUACUGUGUAAUUUGUCCUAGAAUUACUGUAUAAUAUUUCCCCCCA